rnacentral:rRNA from 1 species
GACGAACGCUGGCGGCGUGCUUAACACAUGCAAGUCGAACGGAAAGGCCCUGCUUUUGUGGGGUGCUCGAGUGGCGAACGGGUGAGUAACACGUGAGUAACCUGCCCUUGACUUUGGGAUAACUUCAGGAAACUGGGGCUAAUACCGGAUAGGAGCUCCUGCUGCAUGGUGGGGGUUGGAAAGUUUCGGCGGUUGGGGAUGGACUCGCGGCUUAUCAGCUUGUUGGUGGGGUAGUGGCUUACCAAGGCUUUGACGGGUAGCCGGCCUGAGAGGGUGACCGGCCACAUUGGGACGGAGAUACGGCCCAGACUCCUACGGGAGGCAGCAGUGGGGAAUAUUGCACAAUGGGCGGAAGCCUGAUGCAGCAACGCCGCGUGCGGGAUGACGGCCUUCGGGUUGUAACCCGCUUUCGCCUGUGACGAAGCGUGAGUGACGGUAAUGGGUAAAGAAGCACCGGCUAACUACGUG